AGACAGACAGAGAUAUGUAGUUCAUUGUCCAGCUAUACGAAGUGCGUUGCUAUGAUACCGCAGGACUGUCACAGGUACAUUGGUAAACCAACAGAAAGCCUGAAGAUGUUGAAAAGACAGUAUGCGCAAUAUUGCGAUCCAGAAUUUCAGAAGAUGAUGGAUUGUUCGGUGGUGAUCCAGUGCAACCGGAAUCUGAUAGGCAACAUCACGACGGGCAUGAAUAGCGAAAUGUCCUCCAUGUGCUCAGUUCUGGAAUAACAUUAUUUUCGAAUGUGUUGACCACGCUGUUACUGCGUGGUAACCCUGAC